rnacentral:tRNA from 1 species
GCGCUCGUAGCUCAACUGGAUAGAGUAUCGGGCUUCGAACCCGAGGGUUGGGGGUUCGAAUCCCUCCGAGCGCG